AGAGUUUGAUCCUGGCUCAGGAUGAACGCUAGCUACAGGCUUAACACAUGCAAGUCGAGGGGCAGCAUGGGGUUUGCUUGCAAAUCCUGAUGGCGACCGGCGCACGGGUGAGUAACGCGUAUCCAACCUUCCCGUCACUCGGGGACAGCCCAGCGAAAGCUGGAUUAACCCCCGAUGUUGUCAUAUGAUAGCAUUAGAGUGUGACGAAAGGCUAACGGUGACGGAUGGGGAUGCGUCUGAUUAGGUAGUAGGCGGGGUAACGGCCCACCUAGCCGACGAUCAGUAGGGGUUCUGAGAGGAAGGUCCCCCACAUUGGAACUGAGACACGGUCCAAACUCCUACGGGAGGCAGCAGUGAGGAAUAUUGGUCAAUGGGCGAGAGCCUGAACCAGCCAAGUAGCGUGCAGGAUGACGGCCCUACGGGUUGUAAACUGCUUUUAUGAAGGAAUAAAGUCACCCACGUGUGGGUGUUUGCAUGUACUUUAUGAAUAA
rnacentral:rRNA from 1 species